rnacentral:rRNA from 1 species
GAUGAACGCUAGCUACCGGUUUAACACAUGCAAGUCGAGGGGCAGCAUGAAAGGAACUUCGGUUCUUUUUGAUGGCGACCGGCGCACGGGUGCGUAACGCGUAUCGAACCUGCCUCAUACUCGGGGAUAGCCUUGCGAAAGUAAGAUUAAUACCCGGCGGUCUCGGAUGGCCGCAUGACUGUCCGAGUGAAGAUUUAUCGGUAUGAGAUGGCGAUGCGUCCCAUUAGCUUGUUGGUGAGGUAAUGGCUCACCAAGGCAUCGAUGGGUAGGGGUUCUGAGAGGAAGGUCCCCCACAUUGGAACUGAGACACGGUCCAAACUCCUACGGGAGGCAGCAGUGAGGAAUAUUGGUCAAUGGACGAAAGUCUGAACCAGCCAAGUAGCGUGCAGGACGACGGCCCUCUGGGUUGUAAACUGCUUUUAGUUGGGAAUAAAAAGAGGGACGUGUCCCUUAUUGUAUGUACCAUCAGAAAAAGGACCGGCUAAUUCCGUGCCAGCAGCCGCGGUAAUACGGAAGGUCCAGGCGUUAUCCGGAUUUAUUGGGUUUAAAGGGAGCGCAGGCGGCGGCGUAAGUCAGUUGUGAAAUCGUGCGGCUUAACCGUGCAAUUGCAGUUGAUACUGCGUCGCUUGAGUGCACACAGGGAUGUUGGAAUUCAUGGUGUAGCGGUGAAAUGCUUAGAUAUCAUGAAGAACUCCGAUCGCGAAGGCAUAUGUCCGGAGUGCAACUGACGCUGAGGCUCGAAAGUGUGGGUAUCAAACAGG